rnacentral:rRNA from 1 species
UACGGAGGGUCCAAGCGUUAUCCGGAAUCAUUGGGUUUAAAGGGUCCGUAGGCGGUUUAGUAAGUCAGUGGUGAAAGCCCAUCGCUCAACGGUGGAACGGCCAUUGAUACUGCUAAACUUGAAUUAUUGUGAAGUAACUAGAAUAUGUAGUGUAGCGGUGAAAUGCUUAGAGAUUACAUGGAAUACCAAUUGCGAAGGCAGGUUACUAACAAUAUAUUGACGCUGAUGGACGAAAGCGUGGGUAGCGAACAGG